rnacentral:rRNA from 1 species
UCGGGAAUUUUGGGCAAUGGGCGAAAGCCUGACCCAGCAACGCCGCGUGAAGGAUGAAGUAUUUCGGUAUGUAAACUUCGUAAGAAUAGGAAGAAUAAAUGACGGUACUAUUUGUAAGGUCCGGCUAACUACGUGCCAGCAGCCGCGGUAAUACGUAGGGACCAAGCGUUGUUCGGAUUUACUGGGCGUAAAGGGCGCGUAGGCGGCCUUGCAAGUCAGAUGUGAAAUUUCGGGGCUCAACCCCGAAGCGGCAUUUGAAACUACAGGGCUAGAGGAUAGGCGGAGAAAACGGAAUUCCACAAGUAGCGGUGAAAUGCGUAGAUAUUAGGAAGAACACCAGUGGCGAAGGCGGCCAACUGGCUCGAUACUGACGCUGAGGUGCGAAAGCGUGGGGAGCAAACAGGAUUAGAUACCCCCGUAGUCCCUGAGCGGGCUGGCAAGGCGCAU